UCCCUCUUAGCUCAGUGGUAGAGCGCGUCACUAGUAGCUACUUGUUCCUAUGGAAUGACGAGGUCAGUCGUUCAAGUCGGCUAGAGGGAA